CUCUCCCGAAAGGAAACCACCCACUCCGCAUGCCCCACUCAUUGCUCCCACGCCCCACUUUGCCCCUCCCCCUUCCCAUCCGACGACCCUGCCCGCGCCACCGGCGAACAUGGCAUGCCACCGCGGCGCCGCCCUGUUUCUACUGCGCUCCUCCUCGCCGUUGUUGACGCCGUCGGCGGAGGCGCAGGAAGCAUCAUCUGAUGAGGCCCAGCUGCCGCCGCGCCCUCUCAUCAUCCAGCUGCCGACCGCAGAGGAGAAGAGGGCCGCUGUCGAGGCACCCACUACUGCGGAGCUGCGGUGCGCAAGCUGGAGGAUGGCGGGGGAAGCCACGAGCCCCGCACGACCGUCGCCCCGAGCGCUAAUCCGGAGCCACCCACCACACACCACAGCUGCUUCACCACCGACGGCCGCCACUUCACCGGGCUGCGGUGCCACCGCGCCCGGAGCCAAGCCUUCGUGAGCCCCGCGCGGCCGCCGCCCCGUCCCGACCACUGAGCUGGAGCCCAACUUCCGGGAUCCACUUCACGUCCGUCUCCUUCACUGGUGCCGCUGCUUCCACUAAUUGGCCGUCAUGCGUUUGCUGCCAAUGAUUCGAGAAGACGAGCCAGCAAGUGGCGGUGAUGACACUGCGAGUUCACGAUGUACGGUUGAUUUUGCAGAACAUACACACAGGAAGCCUUUCUCAUCCUUUCUCAUCUUUCUCGACCGAAUUAGGGAAACGCCCGCAUUGCAGCUACCAAAAUCACAACUAAUCAUCACUCCACCCGCAAUGGAUAUUUCUUCUGAAGAUAUCUAGUGUGCUGGUCUUACAAAUUCGUUAUAGCCGCAGGUAAGGGAAAUGGCACAACCAGCGGCAUUGCAAAUACAUUGCAAGUCUGCACUAAGAUCAUUGGCUCAUGACUCACUUUCUGUUCUGAAAGUAUACUUGUCUGCUUCCUUUUUGUGUUUAUUUCUCUUUAUUUUUGCACUUUGGUAACUUGGAGCAGUCAUUAGUUCUAUUAUUUUCUUCAGCUGAGAAGCCCAAAUAUGCUCUACAUAAUGACAAAUAAAAUCACCUAAAACAAAUUGACAUAUCUUCUGUCCCCAAUCCAACAUAUAUUUAUUCUCUCUGUUUUAUCUAAUUAUGCUGGGAAAGGGGGAUCUGAACUAAAUUCUCUCAGUAGAUUGGCUACCAUAUCUCAUAUAUGAGAAUCUAAACAGUUUACAUAUCUAAUCCAAUAUGUUUAGGAAAAACUGGCCUUGAUUCUGAAAUGGAUAAUCUAAUAUUAAGGCAAGUUUUUUAGCAAAGUGAGUAUGUUGCAUAAGAUCUGCUAUGUGCCAUCAUGCAAAUACAUUGCCUCAAAGUUCGCGGUGUUAAUCUUUUUACAAAAGGCAACUUGCUAGGAUUGGUUCCCAGUCGAGGAAGCGAUGCACACGAGGGCAUGCUUGCAGGAGAAGAGGAUCCCCAAGCCUUCUUAGUGGUACGAAUUGAUGUUUUGUUGCACAAAGGUCUAUUUCAUUUCUUUAAGGACACUUGAAUCUUUGAUUUUUUAUUUCCCACAUCUGGUCGCUUGAAGGAGAUGUCCAUCCUUGAUCACUAGCUACCUUAUGGUUCAAGUAUUGCACUAAGUUAUUUCUAAACAUUGGCCGAGUGAUGAAAUAAAUGAACCAACAUUUCUUUAUGCACCUAACUACAAAAAUAUAUGCGUGUUGCUGUUUUCUUGAUCUUCUGUUUCAAGUUUUCGCAUCAGUUUUUAAUUCUUAAAUGAUUUUGGCAAUUGCAUCAGCAUCAUCAUUAUAUGUGCUUCCUCUUACGUCUUAACCGUGUCUAUUUCAUUCACACCAUAUAACAUUGCAUUGGUUUGAUGUCUCUAUCAGAAGAUAACAACAUGGAAGAAAAGGCGUGGUUCUCUGUCGACUGGAUUCAGUGAUGAUAGAAUUUUGGUUUAGUUAGAAUAUGUUGGUCGAGAGAUAUUGCAAGGGGUGUGUAGUGAAUUCUGAACAACACUAAAGCAGGAUAAUAUCAUCGACCAAACAGGAACCGUAUUCAUAUCAUAUCCUGGACGUGGUGGUGGUAGGUGAUUGCAUCAGGACUGACUGGUGAAGACAACAAUGUCGAUUGUGUUGUUGCAGUAGAGUAGUGAUCUAAUACUCAUCGGAACAUGCUUGUCCUAAUAUAACAAGUUGUGAUUGUUCUAAUAUAACACACUUGCUUGAUUUGUGUCUUACAGAGUUAGUGUGUCCAAGAAUCAGUGGAUAGCAGCAGGUCUCAGUAGACCAUUUUCUACAACACUAACUUCCAUAGCAAUUCAUACAACAUUCACGACAAUAAUUCUAUCAAGGUGGAUUGAGGAACCAAGGGGCGUAAUACAAUAGUGAAAAAAGGAUAAAAGUUCGAACACUAAUGAAGCAUAGUUUCGUUGAGGGUAAGAUUUUAAAAUGUGAGAACAGACACAAAAAAUGCUUAUGGUUUAAUUAUCUGUAUGUAUUUUGAUGUAAGAUGAUUCUUCAAACUUUUCUGGGUAAAGAUGUAAUAUGCAAUAUUAUUUUUAAUUGCGUGACAGCUUGCCAAAGAUACAUAUGAUAUUGAGUCUAAUAUUGUUUGCAAUCAAAUUUCUUGGUAGUUUUCAUCCAAGAAAGACACGCUUUGGUAUUCCUAGCCGCAGGCACACUCUUUUGGCGACUCUUCCCUCUUGGAUGCUCCUGGACACCGGUAUGCUCCUCUGGGUCACUUUUCACUCUUCAACUCAUGAAGGGGGUCUAGAAUUUCAACCUUUGUAGGUUAAAUUGUAUGUGUGGAAACAAUUGUUGUCAUCUAUUUUGCAGAUAUUAAAACCCAAAAUUUUGAAAGCUCAUAUGUGUGCAUGAGACAAGUAGUAAGAUGCAUUUGAUGUUGCUUUGAUAUUACCCCAUAGAAGUGUCCCAAAUUAAUACUCCCUCCGUCCCAUAAUAUAAGAACACUUUUCAAGGUAAAAAAAAUUGAAAAACAUUCUUAUAUUAUGGGACAAAGGGAGUAACAUAUUUAGUCGCCCAGUGAGGAGAAAAAUCUUACAUGUGUUCAUCAAAGAUGUGUUGUGAUGUAUUGAAUCUUGAUAUGCUUUUAUGUAAGUUUGCAUAGUGCAUGGAAUGUACCCCAAAUCGGUGCACAUGUUUAUGAUUUGUGUACUAAAAUUUUGGACGUGCAUUGCACGUGCAAGCUUACUAUUAUACAAAGAAAAGAAGGCAGCAGGCAACAGUUUACCAUGAGCAAGUGUGGCAAGCACAAGCACCUGCUUCUUCCUUACUGGGUGUGCGAGAUGGUUCGUUCAUUGACUUCGAGCCUACUGUAUCGAUGGUAAUUAUAUCAACAGUAAUGUCUUUCCUUUCGUCUUCUGUCAUAGGUAUAUGUACGGCUGCAACCUCAGUGAGUACUCACCAUCGGACCGAACAUAUGAGUGUUCAAUGCAAUAAGCAAACGGUGACAACGGUUCCUGACAUGCAAGCGGAGGAUCAUAAUCCAGGUGCAACUCUGACCGGAACCGGGGAACUUUUCCCGACGAACACACCAGUUCAUGAUCAUGGGAAUGAAAAUUCAAAUGGUGCUCAUGGUUGGUAUGCCCGACUGUCUGAUGAGAAAAGAGCGGAAUACAACCAGAAGUGUCAUACAUUAUACCCGCUUUAUAAUUCAGCACCAUUGAAUUGUCAAUUUCCAGGAUGCAUUUACUUCUAUCUAUCAUGACAUUCUGCACGCUCUCCUUAGAUGGCACUGCACAAUUACAACUAAUAAUUAUGAGCCCUCCAAUCUAAAUGAAUCACAGGAAAUGUAGAGUUUUAGUAAGAGUCAGUGGGAGCAUUCUACAUGCCAUCGUCAAGAAAAGAGGGAACAAUCAAUAUUAUAGAAUACUAAAGUGGGUAAAUUGUUGUUCUGCUUUGUUCUCCAAACAGAUCUCUUCCUUGGUAUAAAUUUAUGAUGUGUACUCAAUCUGUUGUAUUAAUAAGUAUCACACUGGAAUUAGCCUGUCCAAUAGCUUAAUAUAUUUUACAAUAGAUUUCACUUUUUGUUUUUUUUAUUCUAAAGAAAAAAAAUACUUAAUGUUAGUAUAUCCUAGACCUUUUCAUUUGAACUCCAUGAUUCCCUAAUAGAUAUAACAGUUAUCUUGUUUCAGUUAGGAGAAAAAAUGAAUUUGUUUGUCCGACCUUACAUAAUCUCUAAAUAUUGCGGUCGUAUCUUAUAACUUAUCUUUUAGUUUCUCUUUGCCACUAAGCACAACAUUUUUUGUAGGCUACCAAGCAUUGGCAUACUACUUAUAAUCUUCCUAUCAUGUUAUGCAAAAGGUGAAUCUGUACUCAUUAAACUUUGUUAAAUAGUAGGUCCUCCUAACUGUAUGCCAAAAUCUAAUUAUUUCUCUGUGUCUAUAGUAUGUUAGUCCAGCAAAAUGGAUGUUCUUGAGUAUGAAAUUUUGCUGGCUGGUUAAGAUUUGAUUUAUAGUUAUUAGUAGCAUUUCAGGUAGGUGUAGUUCUUGCUAAGUUUUUUUACACGAUUCUGAAUUGAUAAUAGACUAAAAUCUCGAGAUAAUUGAUAGGACCAAGGUACGUAUUGUUUAUAAUGACUCGUGUUAUGAUAAUGCAAGAUAGAUUAGAAAGAGAGUGCAUGAAUCAUUUCGAUAGAAUAUUAAAAACUUACAUAUGCACUUGUUCAUAUGUAAGUAUCCAUAGGGACCUGCCUUAUGUCUCUGUGUGUGUGUGCGCGCGCGUGUGUGUAUGUGUGCGUGUGCGUGUGCGUGUGCGUGUGCGUGUGUGUGUGUUAUUCCAUCCACGAAGUCGCCACCAAGAACGGUUCACUGAUAGUAUCAGCGUGCAUGUUUCCAUCCCGAGUGGAGCUCAGGUUAUUAAUCAACAUGGAGGCGUGCCUUAGCCUGGAUCCCAACAAGAUCAUCGGGAGCUUCGGGAAAUUUGAGACGCCCGUUCUCCAUGUGGCCAACGCCAACUAGCUACAGGCAUUGCGCCGGCCUCGGCAGGGGUCGGUCAAGCCCAAUCACCAUUUUGGGACAGCUUUCAUGAAAUGGCUAGGUUGAGCCAAGCUGGAAAAUAUGAGGAUUUUCUCCAAGCAGGACCUGAGCUCAAUGCACCAAGAACAACAUCAAUUGAAGCAACACUUCAUGUAUAUAUAUAAUGUAUUGUGAGCCUUGGAUCGAGCUCAUGUGUGAGGCUAAUGUAUUGUGAGCCUUUUACUUUGAAAUGUGUGAUAAUGAUGUGACAGAGUUAUGGAUUGUGGACAGCAAAUUUAUGUGACAAUUCUGUAAUAUGGUGCCUAAUUAAGUGUAGAUCUGAUUAUUUGGUUUUUGAA